CCCGGGCUAGCUCAGUCAGUAGAGCAUGAGACUCUUAAUCUCAGGGUCGUGGUUUUGUGCCCCACGUUGGGUG
rnacentral:tRNA from 1 species